rnacentral:rRNA from 1 species
CCCUUAGAUGUCCUGGGCCGCACGCGCGUUACACUGAUGCAUUCAACGAGCUUAUAACCUUGGCCGAGAGGCCUGGGCAAUCUUGUUAACGUGCAUCGUGAUAGGGAUAGAUUAUUGAAAUUAUUAAUCUUGAACGAGGAAUUCCUAGUAAACGCAGAUCAUCAAUCUGCAUUGAUUACGUCCCUGCCCUUUGUACACACCGCCCGUCGCACCUACCGAUUGGAUGGUCCGGUGAAUACUUCGGACCGGUUACUUGGUUGGUUCGCUAACCUUGUGACUGGAAAGUCGAGUGAACCUUAUUGCUUAGAGGAAGGAGAAGUCGUAACA